AUUCUUCCAAACCCCGAAGAGCUGAGAAAAGGGCUGGAUAUGGCAGGGGGCUGCAGCAGGCUGCCAACGAUGGAGGUUGGAGGAAAAUACUCCCCUUUACCACAGCUCUAAGGGGGUGGGAUAAAUACGUGGCUAUCUCUAGUUCCUCAUGUCUUAUUUCUACCUCUCUGCCUAACAUCUAUUUAUCUCUGGUUUUCCUCCCCACAUGUCUAGGGCAUGGCUUUGACAUUCAGUCAAACUAGUGAAGACACAUGAUUACCCAUUUUCUGCUACCCAAAAUAAUCUCUCUCUCUCUGUCUCUCUCUGUGAAGCAAAUUGCUCUUUGCUGGUAAGGAAAGUAUUAAAGGUGCCAUAGCACCGGCAGCUCCUUCUUGGGAUACGCUGUGGUGCUACAAAAGAUCUCUAAAAUUUGGCAGCAUCUCCAUGAAGGCGGCCCAGAUGGCUGAUGUUAGCAAGCAGUGGGGAAUGAAAGGUCUGAUUGGAAUCUGAGGGUGCCAGCCCUUGAGAAACUGAUUUGUAGAGAGUCAAAGCCCAUUUUGGUGGUGGUGCUGCUGCUUUGUUGGGUCAAAGUUCUGCUCCAGAAUUCCGUAUUUUAGGCUAGCAGCAUAACGAAGCCUUGGGCAACAUCUGCUGCACCUUUCCCAGUACAUGGGACUGUGAUUGGUGUUACCAGUCACAGCUAGAAGAUCUGCCUUCUGAUUCCCCAGUGGGAGACAAGCCAAACCAACUUGCAGAGCAAGCCAAAUAAUUGUUGAUUAGACACUUCUUUUAGCAUGGAGUGUUCUGCCCUUUUAGCUGUCCUGGUUAUAUAGGCCAAAUCAGUUACUAGAUUAAAAGGUUGUUGUAAUUUUUUAAAUGCUCUGACAUCAGCAGCCAACUCAGGAAUUUGGGGGGUUCCUUCAAUGACUUGAACAUCCUACUCCCACUUCUGAGUGUUUGGAUCCUUCCAAGUGAUAACCGAUUUGUGUGAUUUUCCAGAGCGAUCUGUAAAAACUGUGAGGGCUUUAAGAGGAACCUUACCUUUUAGAGAAUUUGGGACUAGAUGGAAUGUUUCUUUUAGUAGCUUGUGUUUUGGAUAAUGAAUAGAGACUUGUCCGGGAUAGCUGUCUAAAUCAAACUGAAGGUAUCCAUUUGUCUGUAAUAGCGAUUCUAAUUUGUGUAGUUGAAAUGCUGGAUAAAUGUAUGUUGGGUCACACGCUGCAGGGGUUCGGAGGUGGUUCCUGUCUUUAAUGAUUAACUGAGCUAAAAGCUCUUGAGGGAUUGUAAUAGUUUUUUUGGUGUGGCAAAAAUACCCAUUCUACAAUUAACAAUUUUUCUGUAGAAGACGGGUCCCACUGAAAAAGCAGUGCCUGGAAAUGUGGGGAUUUACCAAGACUAGCAAACUGGGAGGUUAGAGAGCAGUCAGCGCGGUGUGCUUUUCGAGAUGAGAUAGCAGGUGCUACCUUUCGCAGCACGUCGUGGGCAUCUGGAGUUAAGAUGCGCUGGGAAGUCAGGUCAUGGCUCCCCUUCAGUAGGCUGAACAAAGGGCACAGCUCUUCUCUCGUGAGUCCAAGCAGUGGUCGGAUCCAGGUGAUGGAGCCACACAACUGUUGUAUGUCCCUUAGCAUUUGAGCCUUAUCUUUGAUGGAGAUAUUUUGGGGAAUAAUGGCUCACCCGCUGAUAAGGAAUCCAAGGUACUUCCACAGGGAGGUCUACUGGGUUUUUCAGGAGCAAUAUCAAAACCUGCAUCUUCAACUGCUGUCACAGUCUUUCUGAUCACUGGGUUAAGGUAAGUCUUUUCUUGGGAGCAAAUUAAAAUGUCGUCCAUAUAAUGCCGAAAUAUAGCUUCAGGGAAGGCUUUCCUGAUUGGAGAUAGAAUCCCAGCCACAAACAUUUGACAUAAAACAGGGGAAGUUUUCAUUCCCUGUGGCAAUGUGACCUAAUGAUAUCUUUUAAAGGGUUCUUGACAGUUGAUUGGUAUCGAAAAUGCGAAUUUGGGAGUGCGGGACAGAGAGGGAUGUUGAAUAAACAGUCUUUGAUAUCAAGGAUUGUGAGCUGCCAGUCCCUGGGAAGUACAGAAGGUGAGGGGAGCCCUGGUUGCAAGAAGCCCAUGUCUUCUAAAACAUAAUUUACUUUCCAAAAGUCUUGUAAUAACCUCCAUCUGUCUUUGCCAGGUUUUUUAUAAAAAGACAUGGGUCAGGAGCUAGUUGAUGGUACAAUGUGUCCUUUUAAUAAUUGUUCCUGUACUGGGGCAUGGAGCACUUCUAAUUUGUCAUUUGGAAGGCCCAAUGAUCCACCCACACAGGAUCAUACCCACAGGGAGGGAUCAUACCUUUUCCCACAGAUGGACAACAGCCAUAUUGAGUGGUUUAGUUUUCAUUUCUUUUUAAUUCCCAAAGUUUCAUUUUUUUCAACAUUGUAAUACAGCAUCUCUAUUCAAAUCAUUAUACUCACCUUGGUUAAUUAAAUAUUUAUUAAUUUAUUUUGCCCCCAUAAUAUCAGACAAAAGCAUAGGACAAAAGCAUAGGAAGAACAACAAGCAAUUACAGAAAUACAGUAUCUUCCCUGAAAAUCCCUUGGAAACCAUGUUAAAACAAUGGGAAGAACAUCAACUUACUAAAGAUAAAGACCCACAGCUCAAGAUUGUGCAUUGCAUGUUAGAAUGGCCAAAGAAGAAAUUAAAACAAGGUCUUCGCUGGCUGAAGCAUGGGUCUACCAGGAUGUGGAUUUGCGAAGUACUUUACAAUUACGCCCAAAAUAAAUUAAAUGCAGACUGGAAUUGCAGUAUGUGGAGGUCUGGUUUAAAUAUUGGAACAGCGAAAAGGAAGUAGAAACAGAUAAACCAAAUUCUCUCUGUAACGAUCAAUGAUAAAGACACAACGAGGAAAACCAAUCAACCAAGGCAAAUUACAAAUUCAGCCAUGCAGGAAGUUCCAUCCAAUCAAGAAGGUCCAGCCUUCUUCACUUGAAGGAGAACCCUGGUAGUACAAAAAUGUUCCUCCUGCUCCAGCAGUAAAGAUAAAACAAAGGUGGCAUCCCUCAGAGAGGUCCCAAUGGAGGGUGCACAAGGUGGAAUAGGAUAUGUAAAUGCACCCCUCACCUCUUCAGAAGUGAGGCAUUUUAAAAAGGAAAUGGAGAUAUUAUUCAGUGACCCAGUAGGUAUGUCAGAAAAAGUUUACCAGUUCUUAGGCUCUAGGAUUUACCCUAGGGGAAAAUGAAAUUCAAUAAUGCAAACCCUUUUCUCUCCAGAGAAGAGAAAAGUUAUUUAGACUGCAGGGAUCAAUAUAUUGGACAGAGAACAUAAUUUAGGAACAACUGGAGAGAAGAAAUUACCAUUAACAGAUCCAGAAUGGAACCCUAACUCAGAUGAGGGAAGAAAAAGUAUAGCAGAAUACAGAACCCGAAUUGUAAGGGGAAUAAAAGAGGCAGUCCCCAGAGUUAAUAACAUGAAGAAAGCCUUUGGUAGCAAACAAUAAAAACAUGAGAGCCCAACUGACUGUAUAACUCGCUUAAAUAAUAACAUCCAAUUAUAUUUAGAAAGAGAUUUAGGUAGUGAAGGAGGGAAGACAAUGUUCUAGGUCCACUUUGGGUUACAUUCUUGGCCUGACAUAAAACAGAAAUUAGAGAAAUUAGAUGGAUGGCCAGAAAGAAGUUUAGAUGAGUUAUUAGCUGAAGCACAGUAAGUUUAUGCCAGGUGAAAUGAAGAGAAAAUGAAGACUAAAGCUAAGAUGAUGGCUGCUGUCCAAAUUCCUAAACCAAUUAGGCAGGAUGGGGAGAAUAUUCAAUUGAAGAAACCUAUUUGCUUUUAUUGUAAGAAAGAAGACCAUAUGCAAUCCUGCUGUUUUAAGACAUUGAGGGACUUAAGAGAUUCUCCAAGUGGAGAAUCAACCCUCAGAGAACUGAGGGGGUCAGGGGCUCUUCUUCUUGGGGCACAAAAACCAUCUUCAAGAGCCCUUGAUAAAAUCAAGGAUAGGACCCCUAGAACAAUUAAUGGAAUUUUUAGUAGACACAGGAGCAGAGACAACUUGUUUAACUGAAAAACCAAAUGCAUGUGCCAUAAGCAAAGACACUUUCAAUAUUUGUGCUGCUAAAGGGGAAUCCUUCCCCAUUCCCAUCAUUAAGAAUGUCACUAUAAAGGGUAAUGGACUAACCAGAAAGGGAGAUUUGUUUUUCUACCUCCAGCAGGUAACAACUUACUUGGCCAGGAUCUCCAGAUACCUUUGAAAGUUGGAGUAGUUCCACAAGAAGGAAGGAUGAAGGUCAUUUUGUUUACUUUAUCCACACAAGAUGAAAACUGAUUAAUCCUACAGUGUAAGCCCAACCAGAUUCUCCUUCUAGACACCUGUUUGCUUCCACCUGGGAAGAUCCAGACACUGGAAGGAAACAGCAGCUCACCUGGACCUGGUGACUGCAAGGGUACAUGGAGUCUCCCACACUCUUCGGUCAAGCCUUGGAGAGCCUGUUCAUUCCCUUUUCUCCACCCUCAGGAAUACAAGUAACACAGUAUGUAGAUGACAUACUACUCUCCAGAGAGCAAGAAUCCACUGUAAAAUUAGGCACCAUUCAGUUACUGAACCUUCUAGGAGAGAAUGGACUAAUAGUAUCUAAAUCCAAAUUACAAUUUGUUAAACCAAAGUAAAAUAUUUCGGACAUGUAAUUGGUCAUGGUACCAGAAAAUUGAGUACUGAAAGGAUAGAAGGGAUUUUAAAUUUACAACCUCCCCAAACAAAGAGCGAGGUUAGACAAUUAUUAGGCUUAAUGAGGUACUGUAGAAUAUGGAUUGAUGAAUACACACAAAGUGUCACAAUUUUAUAUGAAAAAUUAACUACAUCAGAACCUAUUAAUUGGACCCAAGAGGAUAAUAAAAACUUAGAAAAUUUAAAGCAAAAGAUGAUUCAGACCCCAGUUCUCUUUCUUCCUUCACUAGAAGAAGAUUUUCACCACUAUAUUAACAUAGAGAAAGGAAUUCCUUAUGAGGUCUUGGCCCAAGAGUGGUCAGGAAUCCAUAAACCUGUAGCCUACUUGUCCAUAUUGUUGGUCCCUGUGUCCCAAGGAUGGCAAACAUGCAUCCAACCAAUCACUGCAGCAGCCAUCCUAGUAACAGCCAGCCAAAAACUUACAUUUGAGAGAAAUCUGACAGAAUACAUACCACACUCCACCCAAACCAUUCUUAAACAACGAGCAGCCGAAUGGCUAACAGACUCUCAUAUUAUACAAUAUGGGAGCACCCUCAUCCAUUCCACAACUGUAACCCUGAAAACAACCACCCACACCAAUCCUGCACAGUUCCUAUGUGGAAUUCCCCAAAAACAAGAUCUCGUGCACAACUGCAUAGUUUUUAUAAACCUGCAAACAAAAAUUCAAGAAGACCUCCUAGAGAGCCCAUUAGAUGAAGGAGAAAUCCUGUUCAUCGACGGAUCAUCUAGAGUAGUAAAUGGAAAGAGGUGCUCUGGAUACUCCAUCAGAGAUGGAAAAGAACUGUACAGGUUAGAAAAGGAAAACUACCACCUUCCUGGUCUACCCAGGAGAAACAACAUGAAUAGAACCAAGGCCAGUUCCAGGUAGGACUUUCCUGCAUUUAGGUCCCUUCCUGCAUCCAGGUACACUCCCAUGAAAACCAAGGGGUCUGAACCCAGUAGGAAAACCAGAGAGGUUGAAUGGUCUGCACCACCUAUCAAAGAGUACCACAGCACUUCAAUCUUCCCAUUGACCCCUGAGCGAGGGAAGGGAAGGUGCGCCCUACUCCUCAUACUCUCCCUCUGGAUCCUGUAGAUCCCCCUUGUCAGAGCCUGCAUCUGCUGCCACCAAUGCUAACAUACAGUGUACCUGACCAAAGGAAACUCCUACCUCAUAAAACACUCAUUCCAGGCACAUUCUUAUGUAAAUCCCUUUUGUUAUAAUAUGAUGACACUGAGUAGAUACUGACAAUCGGACAAAAACCAAUGGAUUGGUAGAAAUAUUGGAAAUGCAAACCAGAAAAGGAAUGGAGAGUGUCCUGAUCAAGAGAUUUGGCUAUAUGUCAAAUUUAAUUAUAUAACGAAAAAGAAGGAUUUGUUAAAAAGGAAAACUUAUGAUGUUGAUUUGAUUCGAGAAAUUGUAAUAACUGAAAGGGGGAAACAAAAGGGGGACAAUCCAUUAGCUACCGAUAAAAACUUAUUUACUGUUUUAGCAGAACAAAUUAGUAAAAAUCAAAAUAUAACCAAUUGUUGGGUUUGUGGAGGCACCUUCAAAUCAGAAGCCUGGCCUCAGCAAGGAGUCAGUAUUGGACCCCUCAAAUGACUUAAACUAAAUUAUUUCCCCUCCCAAACUCCAAGAGAUCAAGACAAUUGGCUAUUGAGGGACACAGUUCUUGGAGAAGAAUGCAUCUGGAGAAAAGGAAAAAGAUACACUGAGGAAGUUGUAGAAACUACCUGUAAAAGAUAUUUACUAACUGAGGAUCACAUGGAUGUAUCAGUGGUGGAUACUGAACGAACCAGAUACCUUUUGGUCAAAGAAGAAAAUCAGAAACAAGAACUGCAUAUUACAUCCCAAUGAACAACUUUAUCAGUGCUGGGACCCUAAAAGUCAGCCUUUAUUCAGUAUUACCCCAAGUUUCUAAGUAUUGGACCUCCACUUUUAUCACGCUUUCACAUUUUUGGGAGGCUCCCCAAGGUUUAUACUGGAAUUGUGGGCAAAGAGCAUAUUCUAAACUCCCUUCUCACUGGUGUGGCAAUUGUACCUUAGGAGCAAUACGACCUAGCCCCUUUCUACUAUCAGAAGCAGCUGGAAACCAGCUCGGAGUUCCCCUAGAUGAUAAAUUAAAGAGACUAAAAAGAUGUGAAAUAGGGGGAAUGUAACAAUGGGGUAAGGAAGAGUGGCCACCAGAGAGAAUUUUAGAAACUUACAGACCUGCCACUUGGGCUCAGGAGGGGAGCUGGGGCUAUCAAACUCCCAUUUACAUGCUAAAUCACAUUACUGGACUACAAGCCCUGAUUCACGUCAUAUCUAAUCAGGCCAAGAGUGCAAUUGAUUUUUUCAACGCCCAACAGAAGCAAAUGAAAACAGCUGUAUAUCAAAACUCUUUAGCCCUAGAUUAUUUAUUAGCCAAAGAGCGUGGAAUAUGCGGCAAUUUCAACACAUCAGACUAUUGUCUGCAUAUUGAUGACCAUGGUGAAACUAUUACUAAAAUUACCCAAAACAUCAGAAAGCUUACACAUGUUCCAGUCCAGUUUUCACCUGAUUAGUGGAAAAAUAUGUUCUCUAGGGAGUGGUAGAAGAAAGCCUUAAUUAUUUUUCGAGUUUCCUUAGUUAGCCUUCUCUUUCUCCCGUGCUUAAUCCCAUGUUUCAUUCAUCUAAUUACCUCAGUAGUACAAAGCAUGUUCGCUAGUCAAAAUCUUCAAACGAGCCAACAUUCUAUGCCUACUGUCAAGAAAAUCAUAAAUCUCAAUCCAAUCAAAACAGAUAGGAAAACGGGUAAAAAGGCCCAGCAAGUUUAGAUUAAUUUUAAACAAUUAAACACUAUCAACAAAGAACUUUUACAUUUAUGUAAAUGCAAAAGCCAAUGACUAACAUAAGAGAAAGAGGGAGGAACUGUCAUUUAUAAAAUCCCUUACAUGGCUUUUGCACUUGUGACUGGUUUAUAUUUGUAACUGUUAAUUAGCUUUUGCAUUUAUAACUGUUUAAAGUUACUAGUUUGAUCAAGUAAAAGUGUUCAAAUUAAUGAAGUAAAUAAUAUAAAAUCAUUAUCAAGUUAUACUAGCUAUUCAGUAGAUCCCAACUGAAUGUUUAACAGUCCUGUUAAAAUAGGUAGCAAAAUAAGAACUAUAUUAUUUUUAUAAUCCUUUGUUCUUAACCUAAUUACAUUAUUUGUAAAUUUAAUUAUCUCUUUUUAGUAGCCUUAUACUUUCAAAGUUCCCAGUGCAGUUUCCUCUCACCAACAGCAUGCAGCAUUUUACAGACAAUUUCUAGCCCACUCCAGGUUGAACUGGUAACUUGAUGCCACAGCAAUGGUGCAUACUAAUGAGAGAGAGCUUCCCAUCAAAAACCUCAGAGAUAUCAUCCCACCCCAGUGACAGCACACUCUGGGAAAGAAGAUCUUAGCCCAUCAUCUACUAGCACCAAUCACCUGAGACUAUGGGGGCAGGACUGCAAGUACAGACUGAGGGGACUGAGAACAUCAAAGGGGCAACCUGGCCUGAAGAGCUGUCUUUGCUGUCUUUUACUGUUCCUGGGACUGUGACUUACCUACAGCAGGGGACCCCACACUGCAGAUUUCAGUCAAUAUCUCUUUUUAGAGACCUUAUUCCAGAUUUGAGGGCAGACUAAGUGGAUUCACUGCAAUGCCCUCGGGUUCUUGCCUUGGGGCCAGACGCCAGUUCAGCUAGAGGUUUCCUCAAUCCUUGGGCCUGGGACUUUAUCCUUUUUUCUUUCUUUCCUUUCUUCUUUUUCCUUACCUCCCUUUUUGUUUUUCCCCUUUAAAUAAACACCCUAUUUUUGUUCAAAUCGCCAAA